rnacentral:rRNA from 1 species
UACGUAGGUGACAAGCGUUGUCCGGAUUUACUGGGCGUAAAGAGCGCGCAGGCGGUCGUUCAAGUCGAGUGUGAAAGCCCCCGGCUCAACUGGGGAGGGUCAUUCGAUACUGAUCGACUCGAAGGCAGGAGAGGGUAGUGGAAUUCCCGGUGUAGUGGUGAAAUGCGUAGAUAUCAGGAGGAACACCGGUGGCGAAGGCGGGUCUCUGGGCAACAACUGACGCUGAGGAGCGAAAGCGUGGGGAGCGAACAGG